AAGAGGCAGGAGCAUGGUGCGGUCGAGAAUAAGAAGAACUGGUGAGGAUUUGCAGCUAAUUAGGGAUCGAGCAGAGCCUCAUGGCCACCGCCGGGGCUCAAUGUUUGGAACUGGAGUUCAGGGUUGGAACUUUGAGUUCUUUAACUGAUUGAAAGUGAAUGGUUUCAAAAUAAGUUAUCCAUGACAUGCUUUGGAAGUGAAAUGAUGCAACGUUCGGCCGUGCGUGUAUCUUUUGCAGCCGCCUGUGUAUCCGUUACAUCCAGCGUUGGUAACCGUACACCUUGAACGCAAGCGGCAGCCACUCACAAUGCCAAAAUAAGCUCUUGAUUUACGGAGACGCUCGAGUUUGCACUUGGCUGCUGGAAGUUCAGAUUUAAUUUUGGUACAGAACGAAUAAGGGACAGCCAGUAAAUUUUUUUUUUUUUUUUUUUAAAAGAGACUUAUAUGCAGAUAUAUUUGCAAGAUUAAAUGUGAUACGUGACAUUUUAUAUCGUACCUAAAAGUUGUAAUCAGGUGUCUUUUGCCAAAUAGAGGAUUGUUUUCACAUUAAUCAAAUGAAGUGUGCUAACAGAACAAGAACGAUGUCCUCGUUGGUCUAACAAUGUAAGCGACCACAAAAGUAGGCAAUUUAGGGUUGCCGUGGCAACAUGAAUAAUUGCAAUUCUUCAUUUUCAGGCCACCAUUUGUGACAAGGCUGUUAUUUAAAAAAAAAAAAAAAAAUCUGUGACGUUAGUUGGUGUUAGUUUAAAUUGGUUAAUCUGGCACUGUUUAUGGCAGCACGAUGAGAUAAAUCUUAGAACACCUGCCUCAUUGGUUGCAAUCUGACCUGUGCAAAACUACCCUCUAAAGAAUAUAAUAUUGUGCUAAAGUAUUGGGCCAUCAUCAUCAUUUUUUUUUCUGAUGAAAUGACUUUUUCCAGGGCAGCACACGGGGAUAGUUAUUAGUGUGAGUACAUAAAAGUUGCCAAAUUAUAAAAAUGCUAAAGCUCAACCAAUUUGUAUUGCCUUAAUGUGUUUUCAUUUUUUUAUGAUUUAACAGUGAAAUAAAUUGAUUAUUAGGCCAGAAUUUAUUUGUGAGUACAAAAUCAUACUUUCCAUCUAUGUUUGGAUUUAUUGUCUUAAAUAAAAAUGUUCUUUGAUUUCUUUGUCAUUUUAAGUCAGUUAAACUAAAAACUACCCACUUGCUGGUUUUGUCUAGAUUAUACAUUGCGGCCAUUAAUUGUAAUUCGCAGUCAUCUGUCUCGGAGUGUUGCUUUUUUGCUGUAGCUUCGAAGUGGGUGUGAAUAUGAGGCAAGCUUAACGAGUAGGAGUGCAAAAAAAAAAAAAAAAAAAAACUGGACUUGUUUUUGCAAAGCAAAUGUACAGCCAAGGGUUUUGUUUCAUCGUAGCUUCACAAUACUUAAACAGUCACGAUCAGAACGAGUCAUUAAAUAGCGACUUCACUCUAAGGCUCUUCAAAAACGUGAGAUUUACACCGGCGGGGUCACCAGUGGAAGUGGAGCUGGAGCCGAGUGGUGCCGAGACCCCCCGCCCCCUCCUCCCGCACGUUCUCCUUUCUUUUACUGUAUAUGGCUCACAAAAGUGUUGUGAGCAUGUGCCGGUCCAAGUGAGGAAAAGACGUAGCUGAAAGUCACUCGCAAGUAAAAGUAGGGACACUGUGCUUCAUCCAAAAGUACCCCCCAUUUAACCUCAAACUUCAUUUGGUAUCAUGUUUUAUUUUUAAAUUAUAGCUUGGCUUAAGCUUGAGUAGCUACCGUAUUUCCUCAUAUAUAGGUGCAUUUCGGAAGACUAUUGGAAUCUGUUCAAAAAGGGAAACUCAGAGUGGUGCCUUGAGAUACGAGUGCCCUGACUUGAGAGUUUUUUUUUUUUAAUCAGUCGGACGAGAUUUUGCUCAACUUUGCAAAUGUAAACUUGAGUGCUGUUUACUGCCACUGAUAAGGCGUAAUUAUUUACAAUCAGUUUACUGAUGUUAUUGCCAUCGACUACUUUGCCCCAUCUGCUCGGUGGAAUAAAGUAAAUUACUACACGUCAUUAAUUUCCUUGUCACGCAUGCCCACCGCACGUUUGACCCCCGACCCCGUCGCCAUACUACUGUUACACUAAACCAACUCUGCCCCAUCAGGCAGCUCACAGAUAACCAACACGGCAUGUUGCGGUGUUCAAGCCCCCACACGAAUGCUAAAGGCUCGCUGAGGGGAAGCUUUAAUGACAAAAAAUUAUUGAACAUAUGACAGUAAGUGUGCAAAGAUUGCGUUAACAACUUUAGACUAAGUUCAAUUGAAUUACGCUUAUACAGUUGAGGUUCAUCUUGAAUAUUCAGCAAAAAGCAAUAAUGAGCAAUGUGUUGAUUAACUAUGCAAAGUCCAUAAUCCUGUUCUAACUCCAUCUUCUCUCAUGCUAAUUUUUGUCUCCAAUCCAAAACUGCUAAUGAAGCGGACUGGAGUGUGUGUGUUUGUGUGUCAACAAUCAGACCGUGAUGACACAAUGCUGAAACUUCCAACUAUGAGGACGCCUCCAGCUGACCUGCCAAGCAGCUAUGGAGCCACUCCGCUGAGACCUUUGCAGAUCUCCAGUUCCCUCUCUCCCUAGCCGGAGGGAGAUUUGUGUCUUCGUCUGUUUCCAUGAUCUCACGCGGACAAGAUACAUCGAAGCAUCCAGCGUUUGAGUCGAGGUGGGACAAUGGGGGAUUCUUGAAAUGUUUAAUCAAAUUUUGAUCAUCAUUGACAUCUGUUCAUGAGCGAUAACGACACUCAAAUGGGCCAUACAAAUGUUUUCAUGUGUUUGGGCAUGUAUCUAUAUUAAUCUCAGAUCUGGCGAUGGCGUCCAGAGAAUACAUCAGAAUGUGGCGUGGGUGUGGAGGAAGUGUCCCCGGGAGGCGGCAAAAAGUUUCCCUUCCCUUCCCACCUCGACCCGGGAAUGGACACACCCACUCAACAUGCAUAGCACAUCUACGUAGCGGCGCGUGGCGGCCGCUUGGAUGCACAUUAGAGGCUGGAGGAGACAAACGUGAAAUAGCAUUUCUGGGAAAUAAAGGAUCAGCUCGCAGAAAAAAAAAAAAAGCCAGACACAUCCUGGCUGUCUUGUGUGGCCGCGCAAUGAGAAGCACAUGACUUAAAUCGGGCGUGGUGCGUGACUCCUUAUCAGACAAAAGCGUCCCACAACGAGGCCGAACGGGCCCCUCCCGCCAUGUUCGUGGGCAGUCAUGAGGUCUUUCGCCACGCUGCGUCUCGUGGCUUCUUCA